GACUCUCGGCAACGGAUAUCUCGGCUCUUGCAUCGAUGAAGAACGUAGCGAAAUGCGAUACUUGGUGUGAAUUGCAGAAUCUGAAUGGUCCGGUGAAGUGUUCGGAUUGCGGCGACGUGGGCGGUUCGCUGCCCUUGACGUUGUGAGAAGUCC
rnacentral:rRNA from 1 species